AAAUAUAAAAUUCAACAAGUGACAUAAUACAGAAUCGAUGUAGGUUGAAUACAAAUAGAGAUAAAUAUGUUGUCGUGCACAAAUGCAAAUAAAUGCACAUACAUACAUAAUGUGAGGAUGAGCAUAUUAUACUAAUUAUCAUAAACUGCGCAGUGCCACCAAAAAAGAAACUAGAAUUGGAAUACCUGAAGUUUCGAAUAGUCAUCUCUGGUUUUCCUUCCUAACGAUAUAAAAGCACGUUUCCGCCUACAGUCUUACCAUUAACCACAGCGCUAUCGUAUACAUCAAAGAAAGCAGGACCAAACGUCUGGGCAAUCUUUGAGACUUGAAGUUCCGAAUAAAGGUUACCAAAGUAACUUUAGCAGACGAUGAGUAACACAGGUGGCGGAGGUGGCGCGGGUGGUUCUAAUGGCGGCGGUGGUGGCGGUGGUGGAGGCGGAGGCGUCGGAGGUGGCAAUGGGGGUGCCGGCGGCAGCGGCUCCAGCAAAAAGCAUUUCGGGAGCCGUUCAUACGACAUUUCUUCUGGUGGAAUGAACACAAGGAUCAUCGAAAAUCCUGUUGACUUCCGGUUUCCGCAGGAUGAAACCCUCAUGAGCAUGAAUCUGGACCCUUUCUAACAUGCGCUUGACAUUUUUCUCACAUAUCGUGCAAAUUCGUCUUCUUUUUAUAUUUCGUUAAAAACGUUGUUUUUAGUUAAUUUACACGAAAUGUUUGGCAAUUUAAUAUGACAUAUUGAAAAAAGGAACUGGUAAUUAAACGGUUAUACAUUAAGUUUUUCUUUUACUUUACUGCCUUGUAAAGCAAAUACAAAAUAAAAUAACAUAACUAUG